GAGACUGGGAUAACACCUGGAAACAGAUGCUAAUACCGGAUAACAACACUAGACGCAUGUCUAGAGUUUAAAAGAUGGUUCUGCUAUCACUCUUGGAUGGACCUGCGGUGCAUUAGCUAGUUGGUAAGGCAACGGCUUACCAAGGCAAUGAUGCAUAGCCGAGUUGAGAGACUGAUCGGCCACAUUGGGACUGAGACACGGCCCAAACUCCUACGGGAGGCAGCAGCA
rnacentral:rRNA from 1 species